UGCUACCAUGCAAGUCGAGCGAGACCCGCGCGAGCCAUUUUCGGAUGGGGAGCGCGGUGGAAGCGGCGGACGGGUGAGUAACGCGUAGGCAACCUGCCCCUUGCAGGGGGACAGCCUCGGGAAACCGGGAUUAAGACCCCAUGACCCGGGAUGGCGGCAUCGCCAGCCCGGCAAAGAUUCAUCGGCAAGGGAUGGGCCUGCGUCUGAUUAGCUAGUUGGCGGGGUGACGGCCCACCAAGGCGACGAUCAGUAGCCGGCCUGAGAGGGUGAACGGCCACAUUGGAACUGAGACACGGUCCAAACUCCUACGGGAGGCAGCAGUGGGGAAUAUUGCACAAUGGGCGGAAGCCUGAUGCAGCAACGCCGCGUGAGCGAUGAAGGCCCUUGGGUCGUAAAGCUCUGUCCAUGGGGAAGAAGAGAUGACGGUACCCGUGGAGGAAGCCCCGGCUAACUACGUGCCAGCAGCCGCGGUAAUACGUAGGGGGCGAGCGUUAUCCGGAAUCAUUGGGCGUAAAGAGUGCGUAGGCGGCUGCCUAAGCGCGGGGUUUAAGGCGACGGCCCAACCGUCGCAGGCCCUGCGAACUGGGCGGCUUGAGUGCGGGAGAGGAAAGCGGAAUUCCUAGUGUAGCGGUGAAAUGCGUAGAUAUUAGGAGGAACACCGGUGGCGAAGGCGGCUUUCUGGACCGAAACUGACGCUGAGGCACGAAAGCGUGGGGAGCAAACAGGAUUAGAUACCCUGGUAGUCCACGCCGUAAACGAUGAGCACUAGGUGUCGGGGCCGCAAGGCCUCGGUGCCGCAGCCAACGCAAUAAGUGCUCCGCCUGGGGAGUACGCACGCAAGUGUGAAACUCAAAGGAAUUGACGGGGACCCGCACAAGCAGCGGAGCAUGUGGUUUAAUUCGAAGCAACGCGAAGAACCUUACCAGGGCUUGACAUCCCCCCGCAAGCGGGGUAAUGCCCGCCCCCCUUCGGGGCGGGGGAGACAGGUGGUGCAUGGUUGUCGUCAGCUCGUGUCGUGAGAUGUUGGGUUAAGUCCCGCAACGAGCGCAACCCUUGCCAUCAGUUGCCAGCGGUUAGGCCGGGCACUCUGGUGGGACUGCCGGGGACAACUCGGAGGAAGGUGGGGAUGACGUCAAAUCAUCAUGCCCCUUAUGCCCUGGGCUACACACGUGCUACAAUGGCCGGCACAGAGGGAGGCAAAGCCGCGAGGCGGAGCAAAACCCCAAAGCCGGUCCCAGUUCGGAUUGCAGGCUGCAACUCGCCUGCAUGAAGUCGGAGUUGCUAGUAAUCGCGAAUCAGAACGUCGCGGUGAAUGCGUUCCCGGGUCUUGUACACACCGCCCGUCACACCAUGGAAGUUGGGGGCGCCCGAAGUCGGCCGGCAAAUAGGCUGCCUAAGCG
rnacentral:rRNA from 1 species